rnacentral:rRNA from 1 species
GAUGAACGCUGGCGGCGUGCCUAAUACAUGCAAGUCGAGCGAACUGAUUAGAAGCUUACUUCUAUGACGUUAGCGGCGGACGGGUGAGUAACACGUGGGCAACCUGCCUGUAAGACUGGGAUAACUUCGGGAAACCGAAGCUAAUACCGGAUAGGAUCUUCUCCUUCAUGGGAGAUGAUUGAAAGAUGGUUUCGGCUAUCACUUACAGAUGGGCCCGCGGUGCAUUGGCUAGUUGGUGAGGUAACGGCUCACCAAGGCAACGAUGCAUAGCCGACCUGAGAGGGUGAUCGGCCACACUGGGACUGAGACACGGCCCAGACUCCUACGGGAGGCAGCAGUAGGGAAUCUUCCGCAAUGGACGAAAGUCUGACGGAGCAACGCCGCGUGAGCGAUGAAGGCUUUCGGGUCGUAAAACUCUGUUGUUAGGGAAGAAUAAGUACAAGAGUAACUGCUUGUACCUUGACGGUACCUAACCAGAAAGCCACGGCUAACUACGUGCCAGCCGCCGCGGUAA